rnacentral:rRNA from 1 species
GAGUUUGAUCUUGGCUCAGAUUGAACGCUGGCGGCAUGCCUAACACAUGCAAGUCGAACGGCAGCGCGGGGGCAACCCUGGCGGCGAGUGGCGGACGGGUGAGGAACACAUAGGAAUCUACCUCAACGUGGGGGAUAACGUAGGGAAACUUACGCUAAUACCGCAUACGACCGAGAGGGGAAAGCGGCGGACCGCAAGGCGUCGCGCGGUGAGAUGAGCCUAUGUCCGAUUAGCUAGUUGGCGGGGUAAGAGCCCACCAAGGCGACGAUCGGUAGCUGGUCUGAGAGGAUGAUCAGCCACACUGGGACUGAGACACGGCCCAGACUCCUACGGGAGGCAGCAGUGGGGAAUAUUGGACAAUGGGCGCAAGCCUGAUCCAGCAAUGCCGCGUGGGUGAAGAAGGCCUUC